rnacentral:rRNA from 1 species
UACGUAGGGCGCAAGCGUUGUCCGGAAUUAUUGGGCGUAAAGAGCUCGUAGGCGGUCUGUCGCGUCGGCUGUGAAAACCCGAGGCUCAACCUCGGGCCUGCAGUCGAUACGGGCAGACUAGAGUGCUGUAGGGGAGACUGGAAUUCCUGGUGUAGCGGUGAAAUGCGUAGAUAUCGGGAGGAACACCAGUGGCGAAGGCGGCUUUCUGGCCUGUUCUUGACGCUGAGGCGCGAAAGCUAGGGUAGCAAACGGG